rnacentral:rRNA from 1 species
UCCACGCCCUAAACGAUGUGUACUAGAUCGAGGAGGUUUUGACGCCAUCUCGGUCGGAGCAAAAGUAUUAAGUACACCGCCUGGGGAGUACGGUCGCAAGGCUAAAACUCAAAGGAAUUGACGGGGGCUCACACAAGCGGUGGAGCAUGUGGUUUAAUUCGAAGAUACGCGAAGAACCUUACCUAGCCUUGACAUUGAUAGAACACAGUAGAGAUACAGUGGUGCCCUUCGGG